AAUUGAAGAGUUUGAUCAUGGCUCAGAUUGAACGCUGGCGGCAGGCCUAACACAUGCAAGUCGAGCGGUAGCACAGAGAGCUUGCUCUCGGGUGACGAGCGGCGGACGGGUGAGUAAUGUCUGGGAAACUGCCUGAUGGAGGGGGAUAACUACUGGAAACGGUAGCUAAUACCGCAUAAUGUCGCAAGACCAAAGUGGGGGACCUUCGGGCCUCAUGCCAUCAGAUGUGCCCAGAUGGGAUUAGCUAGUAGGUGGGGUAACGGCUCACCUAGGCGACGAUCCCUAGCUGGUCUGAGAGGAUGACCAGCCACACUGGAACUGAGACACGGUCCAGACUCCUACGGGAGGCAGCAGUGGGGAAUAUUGCACAAUGGGCGCAAGCCUGAUGCAGCCAUGCCGCGUGUGUGAAGAAGGCCUUCGGGUUGUAAAGCACUUUCAGCGGGGAGGAAGGCGUUAAGGUUAAUAACCUUGGCGAUUGACGUUACCCGCAGAAGAAGCACCGGCUAACUCCGUGCCAGCAGCCGCGGUAAUACGGAGGGUGCAAGCGUUAAUCGGAAUUACUGGGCGUAAAGCGCACGCAGGCGGUCUGUCAAGUCGGAUGUGAAAUCCCCGGGCUCAACCUGGGAACUGCAUUCGAAACUGGCAGGCUAGAGUCUUGUAGAGGGGGGUAGAAUUCCAGGUGUAGCGGUGAAAUGCGUAGAGAUCUGGAGGAAUACCGGUGGCGAAGGCGGCCCCCUGGACAAAGACUGACGCUCAGGUGCGAAAGCGUGGGGAGCAAACAGGAUUAGAUACCCUGGUAGUCCACGCCGUAAACGAUGUCGAUUUGGAGGUUGUGCCCUUGAGGCGUGGCUUCCGGAGCUAACGCGUUAAAUCGACCGCCUGGGGAGUACGGCCGCAAGGUUAAAACUCAAAUGAAUUGACGGGGGCCCGCACAAGCGGUGGAGCAUGUGGUUUAAUUCGAUGCAACGCGAAGAACCUUACCUGGUCUUGACAUCCACAGAACUUAGCAGAGAUGCUUUGGUGCCUUCGGGAACUGUGAGACAGGUGCUGCAUGGCUGUCGUCAGCUCGUGUUGUGAAAUGUUGGGUUAAGUCCCGCAACGAGCGCAACCCUUAUCCUUUGUUGCCAGCGGUUCGGCCGGGAACUCAAAGGAGACUGCCAGUGAUAAACUGGAGGAAGGUGGGGAUGACGUCAAGUCAUCAUGGCCCUUACGACCAGGGCUACACACGUGCUACAAUGGCAUAUACAAAGAGAAGCGACCUCGCGAGAGCAAGCGGACCUCAUAAAGUAUGUCGUAGUCCGGAUUGGAGUCUGCAACUCGACUCCAUGAAGUCGGAAUCGCUAGUAAUCGUAGAUCAGAAUGCUACGGUGAAUACGUUCCCGGGCCUUGUACACACCGCCCGUCACACCAUGGGAGUGGGUUGCAAAAGAAGUGGGUAGCUUAACCUUCGGGAGGGCGCUUACCACUUUGUGAUUCAUGACUGGGGUGAAGUCGUAACAAGGUAACCGUAGGGGAACCUGCGGUUGGAUCACCUCCUUACCUUA
rnacentral:rRNA from 1 species